rnacentral:rRNA from 1 species
GAUGAACGUUGGCGGCGUGCCUAAUACAUGCAAGCCGAGCGAACAGACGAGGAUCUUUCUCCUCUGACGUUAGCGGCGGACGGGGGAGUAACACGUGGAUAACCUACCUAUAAGACUGUGAUAACUUCGGGAAACCGGAGCUAAUACCGGAUAAUAUAUUGAACCGCAUGGUUCAAUAGUGAAAGACGGUUUUGCUGUCACUUAUAGAUGGAUCCGCGCCGCUUUAGCUAGUUGGUAAGGUAACGGCUUACCAAGGCAACGAUGCGUAGCCGACCUGAGAGGGUGAUCGGCCACACUGGAACUGAGACACGGUCCAGACUACUACGGGAGGCAGCAGUAGGGAAUCUUCCGCAAUGGGCGAAAGCUUGACGGAGCAACGCCACGUGAGUGAUGAAGGUCUUCGGAGCGUAAAACUCUGUUAUUAGGGAAGAACAAAUGUGUAAGUAACUAUGCACGUCUUGACGGUACCUAAUCAGAAAGCCACGGCUAACUACGUG